GAUGAACGCUGGCGGCGUGCUUAACACAUGCAAGUCGAGCGAAGCAGUUAAGAAGAUUCUUCGGAUGAUUCUUAACUGACUGAGCGGCGGACGGGUGAGUAACGCGUGGGUGACCUGCCCCAUACCGGGGGAUAACAGCUGGAAACAGCUGCUAAUACCGCAUAAGCGCACAGAGCUGCAUGGCUCGGUGCGAAAAACUCCGGUGGUAUGGGAUGGGCCCGCGUCUGAUUAGGCAGUUGGCGGGGUAACGGCCCACCAAACCGACGAUCAGUAGCCGGCCUGAGAGGGCGACCGGCCACAUUGGGACUGAGACACGGCCCAAACUCCUACGGGAGGCAGCAGUGGGGAAUAUUGCACAAUGGGGGAAACCCUGAUGCAGCGACGCCGCGUGAGCGAAGAAGUAUUUCGGUAUGUAAAGCUCUAUCAGCAGGGAAGAUAAUGACGGUACCUGACUAAGAAGCCCC
rnacentral:rRNA from 1 species